rnacentral:rRNA from 1 species
GACGAACGCUGGCGGCGUGCUUAACACAUGCAAGUCGAACGGAAAGGCCCUGCUUGCAGGGUGCUCGAGUGGCGAACGGGUGAGUAACACGUGGGUGAUCUGCCCCUUAUUUUGGGAUAAGCCUGGGAAACUGGGUCUAAUACUGGAUAGGACCAUGCUGUAGGUGGUGUGGUGGAAGGAUUAGUUUCGGUAAGGGAUGAGCUCGCGGCCUAUCAGCUUGUUGGUGGGGGAAUGGCCUACCAAGGCGUCGACGGGUAGCCGGCCUGAGAGGGUGGACGGCCACAUUGGGACUGAGAUACGGCCCAGCCUCCUACGGGAGGCAGCAGUGGGGAAUAUUGCACAAUGGGCGCAAGCCUGAUGCAGCGACGCCGCGUGGGGGAUGACGGCCUUCGGGUUGUAAACUCCUUUCAGCCAUGACGAAGCCCUUGUGGUGACGGUAGUGGUAGAAGAAGCACCGGCUAACUACGUG